rnacentral:rRNA from 1 species
CCUACGGGUGGCAGCAGUCGAGAAUCAUUCACAAUGGGGGAAACCCUGAUGGUGCGACGCCGCGUGGGGGAAUGAAGGUCUUCGGAUUGUAAACCCCUGUCAUGUGGGAGCAAAUUAAAAAGAUAGUACCACAAGAGGAAGAGACGGCUAACUCUGUGCCAGCAGCCGCGGUAAUACAGAGGUCUCAAGCGUUGUUCGGAAUCACUGGGCGUAAGGCGUGCGUAGGCUGUUUCGUAAGUCGUGUGUGAAAGGCGCGGGCUCAACCCGCGGACGGCACAUGAUACUGGGAGACUAGAGUAAUGGAGGGGGAACCGGAAUUCUCGGUGUAGCAGUGAAAUGCGUAGAUAUCGAGAGGAACACUCGUGGCGAAGGCGGGUUCCUGGACAUUAACUGACGCUGAGGCACGAAGGCCAGGAGAGCGAAAGGGAUUAGAUACCCCAGUAGUC